rnacentral:rRNA from 1 species
AUUGAACGCUGGCGGCAUGCUUUACACAUGCAAGUCGAACGGUAACAGGUUAAGCUGACGAGUGGCGAACGGGUGAGUAAUGCAUCGGAACGUGCCCGAUCGUGGGGGAUAACGCAGCGAAAGCUGCGCUAAUACCGCAUACGAUCUGAGGAUGAAAGCGGGGGACCGUAAGGCCUCGCGCGAUCGGAGCGGCCGAUGUCAGAUUAGGUAGUUGGUGGGGUAAAGGCUCACCAAGCCAACGAUCUGUAGCUGGUCUGAGAGGACGACAGCCUCACUGGGACUGAGACACGGCCCAGACUCCUACGGGAGGCAGCAGUGGGGAAUUUUGGACAAUGGGCGAAAGCCUGAUCCAGCAAUGCCGCGUGCAGGAAGAAGGCCUUCGGGUUGUAAACUGCUUUUGUACGGAGCGAAAAGGCCCUCUCUAAUACAGUGGGCUCAUGACGGUACCGUAAGAAUAAGCACCGGCUAACUACGUGCCAGCAGCCGCCGUAA